CCUACGGGAGGCAGCAGUGGGGAAUAUUGCGCAAUGGGCGAAAGCCUGACGCAGCGACGCCGCGUGAGGGAUGAAGGUCUUCGGAUCGUAAACCUCUGUCAGCAGGGAAGAACGGUCACUGUGCUAAUCAGCAGUGAAUUGACGGUACCUGCAAAGGAAGCACCGGCUAACUCCGUGCCAGCAGCCGCGGUAAUACGGAGGGUGCGAGCGUUAAUCGGAAUUACUGGGCGUAAAGCGCUCGUAGGCGGUAUGUCAAGUCAAGGGUGAAAUCCCCGCGCUCAACGUGGGAGCUGCCUGGGAAACAGGCAAAUUGGAGGGUGUGAGAGGAUAGUGGAAUUCCAGGUGGAGGAGUGAAAGCCGUAGAGAUAUGGAGGAACAUCAGUGGAGAAGGCGACUAUCUGGCACAUAACUGACGCUGAGGAGCGAAAGCGUGGGUAGCAAACAGGAUUAGAUACCCCAGUAGUC
rnacentral:rRNA from 1 species